rnacentral:lncRNA from 1 species
GUGGGUUUCACUGAAAAACAAUGGCCUAUGAUAAUUGUUGAAAAUAGGUGAUAGGGAUAAAAAGUUAAAAAAAAACCCACAAAGAAUAUUCUAGAUCUCUUUUUGAGAGAAGACUUAAGGAAGGCAUGGGGGAUUACAGCAGAAGCAGGGAGAUUAGUUAAAUCACUAUUGGAGUAAUCUAGGAGAUAGUUGGUUGUGGCUUGGACCAGGGUUAUUAACAGUGGAGG